rnacentral:rRNA from 1 species
AUUGAACGCUGGCGGCAUGCCUUACACAUGCAAGUCGAACGGCAGCACGGACUACGGUCUGGUGGCGAGUGGCGAACGGGUGAGUAAUGUAUCGGAACGUACCUUUCAGUGGGGGAUAACGUAGCGAAAGUUACGCUAAUACCGCAUAUUCUGUGAGCAGGAAAGCAGGGGAUCGCAAGACCUUGCGCUGAUUGAGCGGCCGAUAUCAGAUUAGCUAGUUGGUGAGGUAAAGGCUCACCAAGGCGACGAUCUGUAGCGGGUCUGAGAGGAUGAUCCGCCACACUGGAACUGAGACACGGUCCAGACUCCUACGGGAGGCAGCAGUGGGGAAUUUUGGACAAUGGGGGCAACCCUGAUCCAGCCAUGCCGCGUGAGUGAAGAAGGCCUCGGGUUGUAAAGGUACU